AUACGUAUGGUCCUAGCGUUGUCCGGAAUGACUGGGCGUAAAGGGUGUGUAGGCGGAUGUAUGUGUCAGAUGUGAAAUACCUCGGCUUAACUGAGGCAUUGCGUUUGAAACUGUACAUCUUGAGCAUGUCAGGGGUAAGCGGAAUUCCCGGAGUAGCGGUGAAAUGCGUAGAUAUCGGGAAGAACACCGGUGGCGAAGGCGGCUUACUGGGGCAUAGCGGACGCUGAGGCACGAAAGGGUGGGGAGCGAACGGGAUUAGAUACCCCGGUAGUCCACGCCGUAAACGAUGGAUACUAGAUGUCAGUUGCAUAAUAGCAGUUGGUAUCGAAGCAAACGCGAUAAGUAUCCCGCCUGGGGAGUACGGUCGCAAGAUUAAAACUUAAAGGAAUUGACGGGG
rnacentral:rRNA from 1 species